rnacentral:rRNA from 1 species
GGUGAACGCUGGCGGUAGGCCUAACACAUGCAAGUCGAGCGGCAGCACAGUAAGAGCUUGCUCUUACGGGUGGCGAGUGGCGGACGGGUGAGGAAUACAUCGGAAUCUACUUUUUCGUGGGGGAUAACGUAGGGAAACUUACGCUAAUACCGCAUACGACCUACGGGUGAAAGCAGGGGAUCUUCGGACCUUGCGCGAUUGAAUGAGCCGAUGUCGGAUUAGCUAGUUGGCGGGGUAAAGGCCCACCAAGGCGACGAUCCGUAGCUGGUCUGAGAGGAUGAUCAGCCACACUGGAACUGAGACACGGUCCAGACUCCUACGGGAGGCAGCAGUGGGGAAUAUUGGACAAUGGGCGCAAGCAUGAUCCAGCCAUACCGCGUGGGUGAAGAAGGCCUUCGGGUUGUAAAGCCCUUUUGUUGGGAAAGAAAAGCAGCAGGUUAAUACCCCGCUGUUCUGACGGUACCCAAAGAAUAAGCACCGGCUAACUUCGUG